AGCUGAGUGGUGGUCACACCCGUUCCCAUGCCGAACACGGAAGUUAAGCUCUUCAGCGCCGAUGGUAGUCGGGGGUUUCCCCCUGUGAGAGUAGGA
rnacentral:rRNA from 1 species